AUUGAACGCUGGCGGCAGGCCUAACACAUGCAAGUCGAACGGUAACAGGAAGCAGCUUGCUGCUUUGCUGACGAGUGGCGGACGGGUGAGUAAUGUCUGGGAAACUGCCCGAUGGAGGGGGAUAACUACUGGAAACGGUAGCUACUACCGCAUAACGUCGCAAGACCAAAGAGGGGGACCUUAGGGCCUCUUGCCAUCGGAUGUGCCCAGAUGGGUUUAGCUAGUAGGUGGGGUAACGGCUCACCUAGGCGACGAUCCCUAGCUGGUCUGAGAGGAUGACCAGCGACACGGGAACUGAGACACGGUCCAGACGCCUACGGGAGGCAGCAGUGGGGAAUAUUGCACAAUGGGGGCAAGCCUGAUGCAGCCAUGCCGCGUGUAUGAAGAAGGCCUUCGGGUUGUAAAGUACUUUCAGCGGGGAGGAAGGGAGUAAAGUUAAUACCUUUGCUCAUUGACGUUACCCGCAGAAGAAGCACCGGCUAACUCCGUG
rnacentral:rRNA from 1 species